CUUAAAUUUUUGAAAAAGAAUAGUAUCAUGUUUAUUUUUUUUAGAGAGCUAAUGACAGGUGGAAAUUAGUACUAAUAACAUGAGAAUGGCCUUUUGAAUGAUCUAUCGAAACAAUUAUUUAGUAGAUAGAUUCGCAGUCUUUGCGUUACCAGUCGUAGUUGUUUAACUACUUGAGUUAAUUUUGAGGUGGCACCGUGAUUUCACUCACCCUCCAA
rnacentral:ncRNA from 1 species